rnacentral:rRNA from 1 species
AAUUCGAUGCAACGCGAAGAACCUUACCUGGUCUUGACAUCCACGGAAGAAUUCAGAGAUGGAUUUGUGCCUUCGGGAACCGUGAGACAGGUGCUGCAUGGCUGUCGUCAGCUCGUGUUGUGAAAUGUUGGGUUAAGUCCCGCAACGAGCGCAACCCUUAUCCUUUGUUGCCAGCGAUUCGGUCGGGAACUCAAAGGAGACUGCCAGUGAUAAACUGGAGGAAGGUGGGGAUGACGUCAAGUCAUCAUGGCCCUUACGACCAGGGCUACACACGUGCUACAAUGGCGCAUACAAAGAGAAGCGACCUCGCGAGAGCAAGCGGACCUCAUAAAGUGCGUCGUAGUCCGGAUUGGAGUCUGCAACUCGACUCCAUGAAGUCGGAAUCGCUAGUAAUCGUGGAUCAGAAUGCCACGGUGAAUACGUUCCCGGGCCUUGUACACACCGCCCGUCACACCAUGGGAGUGGGUUGCAAAAGAAGUAGGUAGCUUAACCUUCGGGAGGGCGCUUACCACUUUGUGAUUCAUGACUGGGGUGAAGUCGUAACAAGGUAACCGUAGGGGAACCUGCGGUUGGAUCACCUCCUUA